rnacentral:tRNA from 1 species
GGUCUUAUAACUCAGCUGGUUAGAGUGUCGUAUUGAUAUGCGGAAGUCGAGAGUUCGAGCCUCUCUAGGAUCA